rnacentral:lncRNA from 1 species
UUCAGAAUUGCAAAUGCACCAGAAAAUGAUCUACUUUAUUCAUAGGUUCCAAUGCCUUUUAUAGGAAAUACAUAAAAAACUGCAAACAACUGAAAAUCCUAAAAUAAAGGACAUGACUCAACUAGUUCCACUAAUAACGAGAAUUUAGCAAAACAGAAAAAUGACCUGUUCUAACCUAAAGAAUAGGUCUUUAUUGAAAUAACAAAAACGUACACAAAACAAUCCCUCCCUUGAACUAAACUCGAUCAAGAGUUUCAGUUCACAACACUCAUCCCAAACGCUUCUCUGAUCCUUUGAAAUGAUGCCAUCUUCAAAGGCUUUGUCAUUAUGUCGGUCAGCUGCUCCUCAGUGCUGCAAUAGACCAAUUUAACGACACCUUCCUUUGUCAAUUCUCUGAGAAAAUGGUAUCGGACCCUUAUGUGCUUUGACUUCCCGUGCAUGACUGCAUUUUGUGACAACUUGAUAGUGGACGUGUUGUCGCAGAACAGAACCAUUUCUUCAUCUUGUUCAUGCCCGAUUUCUUUCAAUAUCCUCCUCAUACAAAUGGCUUGACAAGCACAUGUAGCUGCUGCUACAUGCUCUGCUUCAGUAGUUGACAGAGUUACGAUUGGUUGCUUCCUUGAGGACCAUGCCACAACUCCUCCACUCAUCAAGAAAACAUAGCCUGAAGUGCUCCUACUGUCAUCCACAUCUCCCGCGUAGUUACUGUCGGUGUAGCCUAAGAGUUCACUCCUCCCUUCACGUUGAUACCAUAUCCCAAAUUCAGAGCUGCCCUUCAAGUAUCUCAUGAUCUUUUUGCAGUAGCAAAGUGUAACUCGUAGGAUUUGCCAUAAAACGACUAAUAAGACUUACCACAAACAUCAAGUCAUGUCUUGUGGCUGUGAGAUACAUUAAGCUGCCACCAUUCUUAUAUAUGCGUUGAGUCGACCUUCACACCAGCUUCAUCUCGCGCCAACCUUCUGUCCAGGGACUAUCGGAUUACAACGGAGUUGUAAUUUGCAUCCCAAACCUCUCGAUCAACUCAACAACAUAUUUCUUUGACAUAUAACGAUGCCAUCAGCCUUCUGCAUCAUUUCAAUGCAAGGAAAUAUCUCAUCUUCCCAAAUCGGUCAUGUCGAAUUCAUCCUUCAUGGAGCGCUUGAACUCAUUUAGCAACUCUCAUCAAUUACUAGUGAACAAUAGAUCAUCAACAUAAAUGCUCACAAUUAAGAUUUUACCUCCCUUUUGUUUGAUGAAUAAUGUUUGUUCACUAGAGCUGCUUACAAACCCUUCCUUGACGAAAUAAGCCUCAAUGCGACUGAACCAAGCUCUGGGCGCUUGUUUUAGUCCAUAAAGAGCCUUAUGUAGCUUAUAAACCAUGUCCUUCUUCCCUGCUACUUCAUAGCCUUGUGGUUGCUCUACAAAUACAUCUUCCUUCAGCUCACCAUGCAGAAAAGCAGAUUUGACAUCGAGCUGAUAGAUUCCUCAUCCUCUUUGUGCUGCUACAGCAAUGAUCAUCCUUACUGUAUCCAUUCGAGCCACCGGUGCGAAUACCUCUGUGUAAUCUACUUCAUACUCUUGAGCAUACCUUUUUACAAUCAGCCUAGCUUUGAACUUGUCUACCUCUCCCAGUUCAUUUAAUUUAGUCUUGUAAAUCCACUUAACCCCAAUAGCCUUGGCACCAACGGGAAGUGCAGUCAGCGACCACGUGUGGUUCCGUUCGAUGGAUUGUAUCUCAGCAUCCAUCGCUUGUUUCCAUUUCUGAUGUCCCGCUGCUUCUUGAAAACUGGUCGGAUCUGAUAUGACCAUGAAAGCUAGGUUUUUAAUCUCGACUCUAGCCAUGUUUGCUUCUUCUCUGUAUCUGAUAGCCCUUCUCCUGUGACAGAAUCUGCAGACCAGAUUGGUGGUUUUCUCACCCUUCCCGUCGUUGCUAUCGUUUCUCUAGUUGGUGGAUCGUUUGGUGAAGGAGCGUCAUCAGUGUCUUGUUCUGCUUCUUCCGUCUCCUCUGCAUUCUCAGCAUCUUCAUAAUCAUUUUCCCACUCAAGUUCAAUGCUUUCUUCACCAGAAUGACCAACAUCUUCCCAAUUCCACUUCUUAUCUUCCUCAAAUAUCACAUCUCGGCUGAUGUCUUGGAAAAAGAGGUGACCUAGCUUGUAGAAUUUACGGAACCUAAGACUGCUGAAACCUAACAGGACACACUUCACGCUUUUGUCAUCGAGCUUGCUUCUUUUAACAUCAGGGAUAUGAACAUAUCCGAUACAUCCAAAAACCCUAAAGUGUUUGACUGAUGGCUUUCUUCCACUCCAUGCCUCUUCCGGAGUCAUAUCUUUUACAAUGAGUGUAGGAGAUCUGUUAAGAAUGUGAUUCACCCAUUGCACAGCAUCUGGCCAGAAAGAUUUUGGUACCUCUUUCUCUAAUAAGAAUGCUCUCACCAUGUUCAUGAUUGUGCGGUUUUUGCGUUCAGCAACGCCAUUUUGUUGCGGCGUGAAGGCGGUGGUCAGCAAUCUUUUGAUUCCAUGCUCUCUACAGAAUUCCUUGAACUCAUUUGAGUUGUAUUCUCCUCCUCUAUCCGUUCUUAGACAUUUGAUGAACAAUCCAGUUUGCUUAUCCACAAACGCUUUGAAUGUCUUGAACUGAUGAAAUGCUUCAGAUUUUUCUAACACAAAAUAUAUCCACGUUUUUCUCGAGAAAUCGUCAAUAAAGCUUAUCAAGUACCUUAUUUGACUAUUUGAUGGUGGACUAAUCGGGGCACAGAGAUCGGAGUGGAUAAGCUGUAAUCUUUCAGUGGCUCUCCACUUGCUCUAUUUUGGAAAUGGAACACGAUGGUGUUUCCCUUUGACACACGUCUCACAAGUGAUUUUCAUAUCUCUAAUUUUAGGUAAUCCCACAACCAUCUCUUUACUGCAUAAUGUGUGAAGUCCCUUGUAGCUGAGAUGCCCAUAUCGACGGUGCCACAACUCUGCCUUGUCUGAGAUAUCAACCUGCAGGCAUCUCUCCUCCUUUGUUUUGUCAUUUGAUUCACCCAGUAGGAUAAACAUCCUAUUAACACUCAUAACAGAUUCUGUUAUUUUUCCUCUCGAGGGAUGAAAGAUGUUGCAUGUUUUUUGAACUCCUCCUUUGAAUAGCACGUUUAAACCCCUUUCUUGAAGUUGCCCAACACUCAACAGGUUGUUCUUUAAUUCCGGAAUAUAAUACACAUCGUUGACCACAUAGCUUAUUCCAACUCAACAGGUUGUUCUUUAAUUCCGGAAUAUAAUACACAUCGUUGACCACAUAGCUUAUUCCCUUGAGCAUUAUCUUCACCACUCCUUUUCCACCAACCAUCAGUUUGUGAUUGUUCCCAAGCUUGACAUUAUGUGUGAAGCUAGUGUCCAAGCUUGAGAACAUGUCUCUUUCUCCACACAUAUGGUUUGAACAUCCAGAGUCCACGAAUCACACAUCUCCUCUUAUAGUACCUUGAAGUUCCACAUACGCCAUGAGAAGAACUUCAUCAUUUUCUUCGAUCUCUGCAAAAUGUGCUCCAUUGUUCCCAUUUGGACAUUCAUAUUGGAAAUGUCCUAGUUUGUGGCAGCUGUAACACUUGAUUGUUGAUUUGUUGAAUGAGCGUCCUCUGCCCCUGCCUCGACCUCUGUAGGAUCCUCUGCCCCUGCCUCUGACAUUGAGAGCUUGAUCAUCUUCUUCAUGACUGAUCUUCUUAAAUUUCUUUUCAUGUACGGACAGAGAGCUCUGUAGUUCGUCAAGCGUCAUCUUUUCUGUGUCUUUUGACUCCUCGAUGGACACCACCACAUAUGUAAACUUGUCAGUCAGAGUCCGAAGUAUUUUCUCAACAAUCUUCGAAUCUGACAUGUCUUCUCCGUUGCUUCUCAUCUUGUUGGAGACAGACAUUACUCUUCCAAAGUAAUCAUCGAUGCUCUCUUCAUUCUUCAUUGCAAGAACCUCAAAAUCUCUUCUUAGGGUUUGGAGAAGAGAUCGCUUCACCCUUUCGUUGCCUCCAAACUUUCUCUUCAUCGAAUCCCAAAUGAUCUUGGAUGUUUUGCGAUCCAAGAUCUGUUCAAACACAACCCGGUCAAUUGCCUGGAAGAGAUAGUGCUUCACUUGACAGUCCUUCAUCUUGAGCUCCUUCUGCGUUGUAUUCAAUUCGAUUCCCGCUGCCGGUUCGGUGUAACCCUCUUUCACUAGACUCCACAAACCCUUGGCACGCAAGAGGUUUUCCAUCAGUUCACUCCAAUGGUCAUAGUGACCAUCAAACUGUGGAAUCUUGGUGAGUCUUUUAUCGUCACUCAUCUCUCUCUCUUGGAUCACUUUGCUUUGCUUUGGCUCUGAUACCAAAUGUAGACUGUAAGUUUCAGAAUUGCAAAUGCACCAUAAAAUGAUCUACUUUAUUCAUAGGUUCCAAUGCCUUUUAUAGUAAAUACAUAAAAAACUGCAAACAACUGAAAAUCCUAAAAUAAAGGACAUGACUUAACUAGUUCCACUAAUAACGAGAAUUUAGCAAAACAGAAAAAUGACCUGUUCUAACCUAAAGAAUAGGUCUUUAUUGAAAUAACAAAAACGUACACAACAAAA